AUGGCCUGGACCCCCCUCCUCCUCGGCCUCCUGGCUCACUGCACAGGCACUGUGUCCUCCUAUGAACUGACUCAGUCGCCCUCGGUGUCGGUGUCCCUGGGACAGACGGCCAGGAUCACGUGUUGGGGGGAACAACAUUGGAAGUAAAUAUGUUCAAAGGUGCCAGCAGAAGCCGGGCCAGGCCCCUGUGCUGGUCAUCCAUGGUGAUAGUAACCGGCCCUAGGGGAUCCCUGACCGGAUAUCUGGCUCCAAAUCGGGGAACACGGCCACCCUGACCAUCAGCGGAGUCUGGGCUAAGGACGAGGCUGACUAUUAUUAUCAGUCAUAUGACCACAGUUAUAAUCCUCAUGGAGAGGCCGCGCUCUCUGAGCCGGCGGAGCUCUGUGGGGAUCCGUCUCCUCCUGGUGGAACCCGCUGCAGGAGUCCUGGGGCUGGGUCCCCUGCUCUCCUGGAUGAGGCGCCCCACGUCCUGCGGGGCGUCCUGCGGGGCUGCCUGCGGCCUGGAGAGGCCUGA